rnacentral:lncRNA from 1 species
CCUAAAUUCAGUCUUUAAUGAUGCAAUAUGGGGGUCCCACCGCCACGCUGCCAAACACCCCACAGACAUACAGUGAGAGCCCACAAACAGAGGAAUUCCUUUAUUUAACAGCCCUUCCUCCUAUUGGACUAAUCCUGGUGAUGGAACUUAUGUCAAUGUGGGUCCAUGCUGGGAAAUUCCCAUAAUGCAAUGCUGGGCUCUUGCUGAACAUUGGGUUUAAUAUCAUGAAGGCAGGGAAGGGGUUAAAGAAAGCUUGCAUGGUGCAGGAACCCAAGAGGUUAAGUUUGAUUAAAAUGGUCCUUAGCAAAGUCCAAAGCUUGUAAGAGGGUUAAAUAAACAAUCGUGGGGUUCUGGGAGAGAAAGAUUUAAUAGUGCUUAGAUGGGGUGUCUUGGAGGUUAAUGAGGGGCUUCCGGCACAGUGGUGGGGUAUCUGUAAGAAAUUAGGGGUUACCUGAAGAUGGGGUCUGGUAUUUGGUAAGGAUAUGGUUAGUUGUACUAGGAGGGGUAUCUGGCAAUGGUGGAGUUAAGUAUGCUAAGAAGGGUAUUUGGCAGGGAGGGGGUUAAUUGAACUAGGAGAGGUAUUUGGCAGGGAGGUGGUUAAUUAUACUAGAAGGGGUAUUUGGCAAUGGUGGAGUUAAAUAUGCUAAGAAGGGUAUUUGGCAGGGAGGGGGUUAAUUGAACUAGGAGAGGUAUUUGGCAGGGAGGGGGUUAAUUGUACUAGUUGGGGUAUUUGGCAGGGAUGGAGUUAAUUAUACUAGGAAGGGUAUUUGGCAGGGAGGUGGUUAAUUAUACUAGAAGGGGUAUUUGGCAAUGGUGGAGUUAAGUAUGCUAAGAAGGGUAUUUGGCAGGGAAGGGGUUAAUUGUACUAGGAGGGAUAUUUGGCAGGGAGGGGGUUAACUGAACUAGGAGAGGUAUUUGGCAAGGAUGGAGUUAAUUGUACUAGGAGGUUUAUUUGGCAAGGAGAGGGUUAAUUGUACUAGGAGGGGUAUUUGGCAGGGAAGGGGUUAAUUGUACCAGGAGGGGUAUUUGGCAGGGAGGGGUUAAUUGUACUAGUUUGGGUAUUUGGCAGGGAUGGCGUUAAUUGUACUAGGAGAGGUAUUUGACAGGGAAGGGGUUAAUUGUACUAGGAGGGGUAUUUGGCAGAGAGGGGGUUAAUUGUACUAGGAGGGGUAUUUGGCAGGGAGGGGUUAAUUGUACUAGUUUGGGUAUUUGGCAGGGAUGGAGUUAAUUGUACUAGGAGGGGUAUUUGACAGGGAAGGGGUUAAUUGUACUAGGAGGGGUAUUUGGCAGGGAGGGGGUUAAUUGUACUAGGAGGGGUAUUUGGCAAUGAUGGGGUUAAGUGUGCUAAGAAGGGUAUUUGGCAGGGAGGGGGUUAAUUGUAGUAGGAGAGGUAUUUCGCAGGGAUUGAGUCACUUGUGCUAGGAGAGGUAUUUUGCAGGGGGUGGGUGCGGUUAAUAGUACCAGGUGGAGUACCUGGCAAGGAGGGGUUUAAUUGAACUAGAAGGGGUAUUUGGCAGGGAGGGGGUUAAUUAUACUAGGAUAGUUAUUUGGCAGGGAAGGGGUUAAUUAUACUAGGAGAGGUAUUUGGCAGGGAGGAGGUUAAUUGAACUAGGAGGGGUAUUUGGCAGGGAACGGGUUAAUUAUACUAGGAAGGGUAUUUGGCAGGGAACGGGUUAAUUAUACUCGGAAAGGUAUUUGGCAGGGAGGGGGUUAAUUGAACUAGGAGGUUUUUUGGCAGGGAGGGGGUUAAUUGUUCUAGGAGGGGUUUUUGGCAGGGAGGGGGUUAAUUGUACUAGGAGGGGUUUUUGGCAGGGAGGGGGUUAAUUGUACUAGGAGGGGUUUUUGGCAGGG